rnacentral:lncRNA from 10 species
AGCCUUUAGGAAUUUACUGCGAGAUCUUGUUUUUUUACAUCAGGAUUCAUUUUCCCCUCUUCCUAGUCCUUCACAUCAUCUCAAGAGUACAGGAUAUAAAUUUAUUUACUUUUUGAUUUUGUUAUUGUUCUUCACGUGUGAUCUACAGCUGUUGUUUCUUAGUGUCCCAAAAGACAACAACUAGAUAUUUCUUUUUUUUUUUUUUUAAAAAAAAAGGAAAAAAAAUUCAUGUUGGUUAAAAUAGUGUAAAAAGUCACAGGUACCAACUUAAUCCUAAAGUUUAGUGGUCUGAUUUUAUUUAGGAGAUUCUGUUCUUUGUACUACUAAUUUGCAUUUUUAUUUAAACGAUGAUUCCAUUUCUCUGGAAUGUCCCUUUUAAAAAUUGUAGUAUCUAUCAAUUGGGUCACUCACUUUUAUAAACUGCAACAAUAAUUGUCUCUUAUUUGAAGGAAAAAAGGGUUGCUCAUUUUGGGUAUCACUGGAGUCUGAUGGAAAGAGAUAGGCGCAUCUCUGGAGUUGAUCGUUACUAUGUGUCAAAGGGUUUGGAGAACAUUGAUUAAGGAAGCAUUUUCCUGAUUGAUGAAAAAAAUAACUCAGUUAUGGCCAUCUACCCCUGCUAGAAGGUUACAGUGUAUUAUGUAGCAUGCAAUGUGUUAUGUAGUGCUUAAUAAAAAUAAAAUG